rnacentral:rRNA from 1 species
AACGUAGGAGACAAACGUUAUCCGGAGUUACUGGGCGUAAAGGGCGUGUAGGCGGUUAGUUAAGUCUGGCGUGAAAGCUCUCGGCUAAACCGGGAGAGGUCGUUGGAUACUGGCUGACUAGAGGACGGUAGAGGCGUGUGGAAUUCCGGGUGUAGUGGUGAAAUGCGUAGAGAUCCGGAGGAACACCAGUGGCGAAGACGACACGCUGGGCCGUACCUGACGCUAAAGCGCGACAGCAUGGGGAGCAAACGGG